rnacentral:lncRNA from 1 species
AAGAAUCAAUUGUAGCCGACCUUUCAAACAUCUUCUCGUUUCGAGCUAGCCAUACUAUCCAACACGAAGCCGCAAUUACCAAUAACCAUAAACUCUUUUGAAUACCUGUCAACUUCACACUCCAACACACAGAACAGAAUUCAUCGACAUUUGUCACAUCCUUCCAAGCUAAAUCCCACCAGCUAAAAAUGUGAGACCAGAAGCUUUUGAUAAACGAACAUUCAAAAAACAAAUGGUUAGUAUUUUCCGAAACUCAAUCACACCAUGGGUAGCCCCUGUUUGAUGAAUCAAUUUGUAUCCCACGAAUUAUCAAAAAAUCUUUUGUUGGAAUGCGAUUAAUCGCCAACAUCCACAAGAAGUUACGCACCCUUGGAGGAACUUUCAGACUCCAAAUUCUAUCAAAUGGGAAUCCAACAGCUUCCGUUCCACCAUAAGCCAGCAAUUGCGACAACUUUUUAACUGAGAAUACCCCUCCCUUGUCGUGAAUCCACACUAUACGAUCCUCUACCUCAUGUUGCUUAUAUGGAAAACCUUUCACUUUGGUCAAGUUUUAUGUUAUUAAUAAAAAUGUCUUGUAUGUUUAUUAUCAAUAUCUGUGGAUACGAUCCUACUUGUUGCUUCUAUUAAUUACUAUUUCUCUCUACUACAGUUAAUUGUUGGUUUAUUAUUGCUGGUUUGAGCUGUAGGGAAAUUAUGUACUAGCGUGGAUGACCAUUCUCUGCUUUGCAAUUUUGUUUCUGGUUUUCAUAUUCUACCAUAUAAUAUAUCAUUUGUACUGAACAAAAUAAAACUAAUCUUUCAAUUUUUCCCAAUCAUUUAUUUGCCCAUUUGGAGCGGUAAUCAUUUUAGUGUUUUUGAAUAUGAAAUAGGUGCACAGGAUCUUAAGGAUCAGGUUUUGAGACCAUCAGAAGACCAAACGAAGAACCGAGGCAAAGCGUAGCUGAAAAUGAAGAGUUUAGAGCCUUGGCACAACAAAUUGACACCCCUGCCUCAUCCAGCGCCCCAGCACAAGAAAGGAGUUACCUACGUUGGCACCCCAACUUCGAAUCGCCUCGUUCUGACUUGAAGUUCCAAGUUUUGGUAGUGUUCCAAGAGCAUUUUGGUCUUUUAUGGGUUUUAUGACCUAAAUCAAGUUUCUGUAGCCAAAUUUUGGUUGAAAAGAUAUUAUAAACACUCUGAUUGGAGAGGGAGUUAGGACUUUUGACCGUUUAGAGAUUAAAUAGCUUCUUUUUUUUUUUCAUUCAUUUGAUUUUAUGGCUUGCUAAACUCUCAUUUUUUUUAGUUUAAGGAUUUAAGUCUUCUUUAUUCUUUGACAUUCAUGCAUAUUUUGUUUUAAUUACAAUUGCUUUGAUUUUUUGAAUCUCUAUCCAGUA